rnacentral:rRNA from 7 species
UUAAAUUGAAGAGUUUGAUCAUGGCUCAGAUUGAACGCUGGCGGCAGGCCUAACACAUGCAAGUCGAACGGUAACAGGAAGCAGCUUGCUGCUUCGCUGACGAGUGGCGGACGGGUGAGUAAUGUCUGGGAAACUGCCUGAUGGAGGGGGAUAACUACUGGAAACGGUGGCUAAUACCGCAUAACGUCGCAAGACCAAAGAGGGGGACCUUCGGGCCUCUUGCCAUCAGAUGUGCCCAGAUGGGAUUAGCUUGUUGGUGAGGUAACGGCUCACCAAGGCGACGAUCCCUAGCUGGUCUGAGAGGAUGACCAGCCACACUGGAACUGAGACACGGUCCAGACUCCUACGGGAGGCAGCAGUGGGGAAUAUUGCACAAUGGGCGCAAGCCUGAUGCAGCCAUGCCGCGUGUAUGAAGAAGGCCUUCGGGUUGUAAAGUACUUUCAGCGGGGAGGAAGGUGUUGUGGUUAAUAACCGCAGCAAUUGACGUUACCCGCAGAAGAAGCACCGGCUAACUCCGUGCCAGCAGCCGCGGUAAUACGGAGGGUGCAAGCGUUAAUCGGAAUUACUGGGCGUAAAGCGCACGCAGGCGGUCUGUCAAGUCGGAUGUGAAAUCCCCGGGCUCAACCUGGGAACUGCAUUCGAAACUGGCAGGCUUGAGUCUUGUAGAGGGGGGUAGAAUUCCAGGUGUAGCGGUGAAAUGCGUAGAGAUCUGGAGGAAUACCGGUGGCGAAGGCGGCCCCCUGGACAAAGACUGACGCUCAGGUGCGAAAGCGUGGGGAGCAAACAGGAUUAGAUACCCUGGUAGUCCACGCCGUAAACGAUGUCUACUUGGAGGUUGUGCCCUUGAGGCGUGGCUUCCGGAGCUAACGCGUUAAGUAGACCGCCUGGGGAGUACGGCCGCAAGGUUAAAACUCAAAUGAAUUGACGGGGGCCCGCACAAGCGGUGGAGCAUGUGGUUUAAUUCGAUGCAACGCGAAGAACCUUACCUGGUCUUGACAUCCACAGAACUUUCCAGAGAUGGAUUGGUGCCUUCGGGAACUGUGAGACAGGUGCUGCAUGGCUGUCGUCAGCUCGUGUUGUGAAAUGUUGGGUUAAGUCCCGCAACGAGCGCAACCCUUAUCCUUUGUUGCCAGCGGUUAGGCCGGGAACUCAAAGGAGACUGCCAGUGAUAAACUGGAGGAAGGUGGGGAUGACGUCAAGUCAUCAUGGCCCUUACGACCAGGGCUACACACGUGCUACAAUGGCGCAUACAAAGAGAAGCGACCUCGCGAGAGCAAGCGGACCUCAUAAAGUGCGUCGUAGUCCGGAUUGGAGUCUGCAACUCGACUCCAUGAAGUCGGAAUCGCUAGUAAUCGUGGAUCAGAAUGCCACGGUGAAUACGUUCCCGGGCCUUGUACACACCGCCCGUCACACCAUGGGAGUGGGUUGCAAAAGAAGUAGGUAGCUUAACCUUCGGGAGGGCGCUUACCACUUUGUGAUUCAUGACUGGGGUGAAGUCGUAACAAGGUAACCGUAGGGGAACCUGCGGUUGGAUCACCUCCUUACCUUAAAGAAGC